CCUAUAUACAAUAUACCGUUAUUUCGAGCCAAAGGCUAUUCAUUAAAGUACAAAGCGUUCGAAUUUAAGCGCAACAAUAGCCAUAUUGUUUGUCAUACGUUUGUAUCUGCUCAUAAGCCAUACCUUUCCAGACACUACUCCACUUAAAACAUUUUUCGUUUUUGUGUGUCGAUUUUGGUUGCCUUUGUUGGAACAUCCCCGGAAUAAUGUCGGCGACAUCAAUCGAUGGCAAUUACUUCCUCUUCGAUGGAACGAAUUGAAUUGUACCAGUGUGUUCGUAUUACAAUAACAAAAACCCAUGCGUAUACAUACUAACAUACAUAUACCGAACCAAAAAUAUUUGAACGAAUGCCUGAACCUUUCCCAGACAACAGCCGGAAUGUGCAACCACAAGCAUAUCUACGGAUAUGUAUAUAUGUAUAUACAAACACAUAAAGAUACACAUACGCCGGAGUCAACCAUGCAUACAUAUCUACCAGCAAUACUGACUUUUACACCAAAAGUAGUUGAUUACAAACUCACAUGCAUUCCCCAUUGGAAGAGUUGAAAAUUGUACCAACAUAGCUACGAGAGCUUGUGUAACUUAAAAAGAGCUAGUGUGUGUGCGUAUGUGUACCUGUGGCGUUCCACCUAUGAUAGCAUGAAAGUGAACAUAACUCGGCAUGAAAAGAAACUAAUUCUAUUGAAUGGAGUUGAAGUGCUACUUUGUGCUUAUGACAUAUGUUACAUGCUACAUACCACACACCGCAUGCCACAUGUCACACGCUGUAUGCUACAUGUGGGAAAAACCAUUUUGGUUGUUGUACAAAGAGCUUGAGGUGUUUGCAUGUGGCUGGCAGUUUUAGUAAUUACUACCCUGGUAAACACAUGCAUAUAUAUAUAUAUAUAUAUAUACCUAUAUAUAUACUCAUCCAGAGAUAGCAGUAAAUUUUUAAGUUUUUAUUCGAAUUCAACUCGAGUAAAAUUUUAAAACUUCCAAAAUUUGUUUGGCAAUGGGAUUAUAAUAUUCUAAGUAUGAAUGUAUUGGUGUUUUAAGGUGAAAAAGCUUUAAAAACCCCUUAUGAAUGAGAAGAGUAAACGUUCGAUAAUGUCAAAGUUAUUUAAGUAUUCGAAUUAUAAGUAAAUAAAGAAGCUGAAAUUAUCCUUCAGUUUUUGAGAUAUCGAUCUGAAAUUAUGCAUACGCCCUUUUCUCCGCAAAAGGCUACUCAUUUGAUGGAAUAAUCGGUAUCGAACUACUAAAGCAUUUAGCUGCCAUACAAACGGAACGAACAAAAUCAAGUCCUUGUAUGGAAAACUUUUUUUAUUUGACUAGACAUCUUCAUGAAAUAUGGCAGGGAUUAUUGCCCAAGGCAAGGCUACUUUCUCCAAAGAUAGUAUUCAGAUCAGACUACUAUAUCUUAUAACUAUCGUACAAACUAAUCAAUCAAUACCAAUACCUUUUUAUACCCUUUUAUACUAUAAAAUAUCACCUGUGAAUGAUAUUAGUGCUUUGGUGCAGACGUAAUUAACGUUUUUUCUUGUUUUUCUCUUACUUUUGCAUUCAAAAAGUUUAAAAAUGUUCAGUCUCCAUUAAGCGAUCUCUGAAAUGAGCAAUUCGGUCCUGAAUUACAGUUUCUAAUAAAAAUUUGCAACCUGACGCCUCCUACCGGGUUUUCGUUCCGUUCUUAACCUUCGCAAAGUGCAAACAACUCUUACUAAAUAAAAUAUUUCCGCAGUUCUAUACAAUAAACUUAAAGCUAUCUAUUUUAUUUUUGUUUUUACCUAGGCAUGCUAUUAAAUAUAAAAUUUAACAAAAAUUCCUUCCUUACUUAUACCGUUAUUGUGCAAUUAGCAAAAUAUGACUAGAAUUUGUUGGUGUGGCAUUUAAUAAGCCAUUAAACGCUAUUACCUCAGUUAAUGACUUACAAACAUUUUUACCUGAACCGUGAAAAGUUGCAAGAACAAAAGUGAAGAAUAAUUCACGAAUAGUUAAUGGAAGUGCUUCCACUACUACACCCAUAAAUAUACGAGAAGCGAGAAAUGAUUCAGGAAUAUGCGUGCAUAAGUUCAGGUAUAAUCGCUAAUCAAAUAUUCAUUUGAAAUGAAUGCCGGCGCAUUGCCAUAAACGCUUUAUGCCUUUGUGCGUGUGUAUGUAUGUGCAACUCAUCUGUUUGUUUGCGAGUUCAAUUAACCUUAUUAUUCGUUAAUUUCCAUUUAAUUGGCAAAUAUGUAUGUAAGCAAGUUGGCAGCUGGCAAACGAAGAAGCUGACGAACUGACUGACUGAUUGGCAGACAGUUGAAAAAUACCCAGUGGAGCUGUUGCAGGCUGACUGAAGUGUGAACAAUAUCAAUCUGCCACGUGGUGCAAUCAAGCAUAGUUACCUGUCUAUUAUUAAUUGGCGCUGCCAAAAUAUUAUUGAGUACAUAUUACAUAUAUGGAUGGAAGAGAAAACUGUGCACGGAAAGUGCGUAUGUGCAACUUAUUAGAAUGUGUGAACCAGAGUUCGAGAGCUACAGUGACGGGAAGAAACGAUUUACUCAUAGAAGUUGGAGCAGAAGUUUAUUUUAAUACUUGGCUGUUGCAAUCAGCUCUUGGUUUAGGCACAAAAUGCUUAUAUGUAGGCUUUCUCAGCAAGUUGGUUAGAGCGUAAGGAGACUAGAGUUACAAAAUUGAUGGAGUGAUCCGUCCUAAAAUCCCUGCUCAUUUGGUUAUACACAUGUGUAAUUAUAAUCGACUGCGUGCAAUACAUAUACAUAUCUGUAGUCGCACGCAUAAUUCGGUUAUGUCCGCAUAAUUUCUGUGAUAAAGUUUAUGUGUGUAUAUCGUCGCACCAGUUUCAAAUUACCGUAAUUACAUCAACUGUCAACAAAGUUUGGACAAACCAGUCAAAAGAGAUUAAUGUCCAUAUAGUAAACUGACAUGGCAAUGAUAGCUAAGUUCACGAGACGUUAUGGCUAGAUGAUACAUACUGUAUAAAAUAAUUAAUUAUAUAUAUUAAUAUAUAUUUAUAAAAAUAUACAUAUGUAUUAGGUUUUAUAAAAGGAAUCUAUUAUUUUUCCAAUAGAUGGCUGUAUAAUUUUGUAAAAAAAAAUCUGUCCGACGUUUUUGUGAUUGCUUGACUCGAUGAUAGCGAAAUCGCAAGCUAGUUAGCUUAAAAUGUGAACAGUCUUCAUGGUCCUGAUAGUGUAGCUGUCAAACGGUCGUGGUCGAAUCGCGUUGAACCUAUGCAAACUGUGACCAUGCCAGUAUUGACGACCAGAAUGAGUUUGCUGUGCAUUUGAUGGCGUUGGCAGACAGUACUGUCAACAUUUGAACCAUCUGAAGUAAGACAUCGCCCAAAAGUGGACAGCUUGAGCCAACAGCAGAGAAAUUUCAUUCCAUUAGGGUAACACUAGGUCACACCCAUCGAUAGUGGCUCGUCAGGAGCUCCGGGAGUUUGGUUGGGAUGUUCUUUUGCAUCCCCUUAUAGUAAUUACUAUCCGUUCCCUGUCUGUGGUGAAUCAUUUUGCUUGCGAAAAAUGCGACCCAAGAGAAGCUUGUGAAAAUCGACUUUGGUAGUUUUUUUUUGCCAAUAGGCACUAGGGUUUUCUAUGAGAGUGGCAUUAUAUAAUUAUAUUUAAAAUGACAAGAAGUUAUCGAAGAAAACAGUGCAUAUUUCACAUAAAUCGGACAAUGCUAAAUACAGCCUUAACUUUAGUGCAAAAACAAUGGAUUUCUUUUUACUAGAUCUUUUGAACAUAAUAAAUAAAAAAAGGAAACAUUUUUAGCAUUGAACUUGAAAAUGUUUAUCAUACGCCAUGUAGUCAAUCCUGCUCUCUCCAGGUUAGUAUGAAAUGUCAUAAGAAUAUUAGUUUAUAAACAAUAUGUCUCUUGAAUAUGGGUUAUACUAGGUAAAUUAUAGAAUAGUGUGUGCAAAAAGUGCUAAAACUAUGCUUCAAUGCAACAUUGAGCGAUAUUUGAACAACAUAUUACUCAUACGCAGCGACAUCUCGUGAUUGUAAUUGGUUAACUUUAGUUGUAUUAACUGGUACAAUAUAAAUUACUAUUAUUUUAUAUGUGAAAAUUUUUUAAUGUAGCAGAGAGAUAAGAAAGAUGGUAGAGUUAAUUCACUACCGAGUGGGGAAAAGUAAAUAUAAUUAAUUAUUUUGUCCUAUUUGCUACCAGGUCAGAAUGAUGAGUGCUGCAAAAUGCCAUAUAUAUAUAGUAGUUU